rnacentral:rRNA from 1 species
UACAGAGGGGGCGAGCGUUGUUCGGAAUUACUGGGCGUAAAGGGCGCGUAGGCGGCCAACUAAGUCAGACGUGAAAUCCCUCGGCUCAACCGGGGAACUGCGUCUGAUACUGGAUGGCUUGAAUUCGGGAGAGGGAUGCAGAAUUCCAGGUGUAGCGGUGAAAUGCGUAGAUAUCUGGAGGAAUACCGGUGGCGAAGGCGGCAUCCUGGACCGAGAUUGACGCUGAGGAGCGAAAGCUAGGGGAGCAAACGGG